AACGCUGGCGGCAGGCCUAACACAUGCAAGUCGAACGAACUCUUCGGAGUUAGUGGCGGACGGGUGAGUAACACGUGGGAACGUGCCUUUAGGUUCGGAAUAACUCAGGGAAACUUGUGCUAAUACCGAAUGUGCCCUUCGGGGGAAAGAUUUAUCGCCUUUAGAGCGGCCCGCGUCUGAUUAGCUAGUUGGUGAGGUAAAGGCUCACCAAGGCGACGAUCAGUAGCUGGUCUGAGAGGAUGAUCAGCCACAUUGGGACUGAGACACGGCCCAAACUCCUACGGGAGGCAGCAGUGGGGAAUCUUGCGCAAUGGGCGAAAGCCUGACGCAGCCAUGCCGCGUGAAUGAUGAAGGUCUUAGGAUUGUAAAAUUCUUUCACCGGGGACGAUAAUGACGGUACCCGGAGAAGAAGCCCCGGCUAACUUCGUGCCAGCAGCCGCGGUAAUACGAAGGGGGCUAGCGUUGCUCGGAAUUACUGGGCGUAAAGGGAGCGUAGGCGGACAUUUAAGUCAGGGGGUGAAAUCCCGGGGCUCAACCUCGGAAUUGCCUUUGAUACUGGGUGUCUUGAGUAUGAGAGAGGUGUGUGGAACUCCGAGUGUAGAGGUGAAAUUCGUAGAUAUUCCGGAAGAACACCAGUGGCGAAGGCGAACACACUGGGCUCAUUACUGACGCCUGAGGGCUCNAAAGCGGUGGGGAGCCAAACAGGAUU
rnacentral:rRNA from 1 species